AUUGAACGCUGGCGGCAGGCUUAACACAUGCAAGUCGAACGAGUGGCGGACGGGUGAGUAAUGCUUGGGAAUCUGGCUUAUGGAGGGGGAUAAAUACGGGAAACUGUAGCUAAUACCGCGUACCAUAGGAUGAGCCCAAGUGGGAUUAGGUAGUUGGUGAGGUAAAGGCUCACCAAGCCGACGAUAUCUAGCUGGUCUGAGAGGAUGACCAGCCAACCGUGGAAGGAGACACUGCCCAGACUCCUACGUGAGGCAGCAGUGGGGAAUAUUGCGCAAUGGGGGCAACCUGACGCAGCCAUGCCGCGUGAAUGAAGAAGGCCUUCGGGUUUUAAAGUUCUUUCGGUAGCGAGGCGUUAACUACAGAAGAAGCACCGGCUAACUCCGUGCCAGCAGCGGCGGUAAUAC
rnacentral:rRNA from 1 species